rfam:Bradyrhizobium sp. AS23.2 Bradyrhizobium_AS_23.2_c23, whole genome shotgun sequence.
CGAGACCCCGCGGUUUGGGAGAACCCGACGGUCUCGAUCACGGGGUCCGCCAAGGCGCUUGGGAGAGCGAGGUGGCAGAUCUCACUCAGGGGAGAUUUCCGAUGCAGAACGCGCUUCUGAUCGGCUUGUCACGUCAGAUGACGUUGG